GUGCCAGCAGCCGCGGUAAUACGUAGGGUCCAAGCGUUAAUNGGAAUUACUGGGCGUAAAGCGUGCGCAGGCGGUUGUGCAAGACCGAUGUGAAAUCCCCGGGCUUAACCUGGGAAUUGCAUUGGUGACUGCACGGCUAGAGUGUGUCAGAGGGGGGUAGAAUUCCACGUGUAGCAGUGAAAUGCGUAGAGAUGUGGAGGAAUACCGAUGGCGAAGGCAGCCCCCUGGGAUAACACUGACGCUCAUGCACGAAAGCGUGGGGAGCAAACAGGAUUAGAUACCCUGGUAGUCCACGCCCUAAACGAUGUCAACUAGUUGUUGGGGAUUCAUUUCCUUAGUAACGUAGCUAACGCGUGAAGUUGACCGCCUGGGGAGUACGGUCGCAAGAUUAAAACUCAAAGGAAUUGACGGGGACCCGCACAAGCGGUGGAUGAUGUGGAUUAAUUCGAUGCAACGCGAAGAACCUUACCAGG
rnacentral:rRNA from 1 species